UCGCUACUACCGAUUGAAUGAUUUAGUGAGCUGGAAGGACCGUUAACUAGGUUUGGGUAACCUUACUUGGAGAAUGGAAAUUCCUACAAAUUUGAUCAUUUAGAGGAAGUAA
rnacentral:rRNA from 1 species